AGGGUCAGCUUACUGGAAACAAAAUUCUAGGAAGGUUUUUGCUGUGCCUGAACAACAGUUUUUAGAUAUGAGAUCCAAAAGGAGAAGAUUAAGCCAACGGGAUGAUGACAGCCAGCUACCAGAGGUCUUGGAGAGAAUUGAAGAGGUGGUCUUGGCAUCCCAAGAACUGCCAGAGGUUGCACAGGCUAUAAGAGGGUAAUCUGAGCUGACGUUGGCACGCAGACGUUUUAUUACAUUCACGGACGAAGAACGUGCAGCUAUUAAAAAUGCAUUUGCUUGCGUGAUUUGCAAAGGGCCCAUGAAUGAUCCUGUUUUUGCAGUUUGCUGUCAGAGUCUCAUUGCAUGCAAAGUGUGCUUUGACCAGUGGCAGCGAAAUCCAACACCUGUGUGAAAUGCAGAGCAGACAACUCAAGGGAAAACACCUACAGGGUCACAGGAAUUGAUGGUGCAUUGUCUGCUUUUGGUGAUCUUAUCAAAGAUUAAAUACAGUGAGGAAAAAAAGCUGUAUACCUGUUACAAGUGUCACACAUUAAGAAGUUUCAUAAUAUGGCACCACUACGGCAGCUCUUUAUUAGUUACUGGUGUUUGUUACAUGUUAAGAGUAUAUAUUCUCUUGAAUAUACAGUAUAAAAAAAGUUAUUACUGUUCAGUCAUUGACUUAAAAGUGAGAAGCACUACAGGCAGCACUUUUUCUGCUUUAAUCAGAGUAAUUAUAUACCAAAUAUCACUGUUUAAGGGUCAAGUUCAACUUUUGAAGUAAAAUGCAGCACUGGAAAGCACUUUAUUAAAGCUUUAUUGUGACAGUUUUAUACCUCAAAUUACAUCGUUUUAAUACAAUUGAUAAUGCCUAUGUUCAAAAGACUUGUUUUUGUAAAAUGAUUGUUCACAGAAAUAUGUAAUAAA